rnacentral:rRNA from 1 species
GAUGAACGCUGGCGGCGUGCCUAAUACAUGCAAGUCGAGCGAACGGACGAAAAGCUUGCUUUUCUGAUGUUAGCGGCGGACGGGUGAGUAACACGUGGAUAACCUACCUAUAAGACUGGGAUAACUUCGGGAAACCGGAGCUAAUACCGGAUAAUAUUUUGAACCGCAUGGUUCAAAAGUGAAAGACGGUCUUGCUGUCACUUAUAGAUGGAUCCGCGCUGCAUUAGCUAGUUGGUAAGGUAACGGCUUACCAAGGCAACGAUGCAUAGCCGACCUGAGAGGGUGAUCGGCCACACUGGAACUGAGACACGGUCCAGACUCCUACGGGAGGCAGCAGUAGGGAAUCUUCCGCAAUGGGCGAAAGCCUGACGGAGCAACGCCGCGUGAGUGAUGAAGGUCUUCGGAUCGUAAAACUCUGUUAUUAGGGAAGAACAUAUGUGUAAGUAACUGUGCACAUCUUGACGGUACCUAAUCAGAAAGCCACGGCUAACUACGUG